rfam:Salmo salar isolate Sally breed double haploid chromosome ssa13, whole genome shotgun sequence.
AAUGCAUCAACUUGUAAGUCGCUCUGGAUAAGAGCGUCUGCUAAAUGACGUAAA